UUAUAUUUUUGCUUAGCGAAAAUUUAAAAAACAAAAAGACGUUUCAAACUAAUUAAAUAUCUAUGUAUUUAAAUGUGUGUCAAGUACAUGCGUGCAACAAGAAAAAUUAAGUAAUAGAAUGUUUGUAUGCUUAAAGGCCAUUGCUAAACAACAACAACAACAAUGUAUAACUAUAAAACAAUAAUAUUAAAAACAAUAACAAUUGAUACCAGUGUAAGAUAAAUGAAUAUUACGAUUUGUCUGUACCACAGAUCUUUGUUUAAGCAAGCGCCGGCACGCUUACUGUAUGACAUCCCUUUACCACACCCACACAUACACUCACACACACUCACAGUUGAAUCAUGCUUAUGUACAAUAUUUUUAUAUAUUUUAAUAAUCAAUUUCAAUUAUAAACUACAUUAAUCUAACUGAAAAGGGAGACGCCCACAAGAAGCGAACAAAGCAUAACUAAUAAAGACUAUUACAAAAACGGAAGCGUAGAACCGUAGAGGAAGAAUUCUGUGAGAACUGGCGCAACUGAAACUAUUUCGAGAAUAAAUAUUGUAUGGUGUUUUCAACUGAUCCCUAAAGUAUGCAAUGCCAAAUCCGUUUGCACGGGUACAAAUUUUAGUAUCCCAGACUACGCGUAUGUGUGUGGUCCCUAUAUCUUAGACUUUAAUGAAAAAAUUUUACUAGGAGCACAUUAUCAGAAGGGUAUGCUUAGUUUAAUUCUGAAAACGUCUUCAGAUUUAAGAAAUUUUUGCCUUUUCUAUCAAAUUUUUUGUGGCUAAAUUUCAAGCGCUUCAAUUUUAGAAUUUGUUUAAAAUUACAAUAAGGGAUAGAAUUUCAAAAUCGUCCUUGAACUAUUAAUUGAGCAGCUGCUGAGACGGAGACAGCUCUUUCAGGCUUUUUAGACCGCUUUCAAAUAAAUAAUCAAGUAAAAAACCUCUAGUUUGAGGUCUGCUCGACUACAACUUCUGUAAUCCUUUCAAACAACUGUUACUUUGAUCAUGCUAAGCUCCUUCAAAGAUAAUUUCAGGAUCUGGAAACCCCAUUUAUAAUUCUCUUUUCAGUCGCAUCUGAUGUACCUAAGUUCUUCAAGAGUUUUCUACCUAAAAUGAUAAAAAUUUGAAUUUUUGAUAUAUAAUAUAUAAUAUAAUAUGUAAAAUAGUUUUUCUAGUAAGACAUUCGAAAAAGUUUCUUUGAUUUUCUAAACAGCUUCUUCUAAUGAGGGUUUUCCUAUAGUCUUAUUCAAAAAACAUUUUCUAAAUAUUUUCACUUAUUUAAUUUUCUAAUCUAUUUCUCUGAAAUGAUUUUAUAAAUAUUUUUAAAAUAGUUUCUCUACAAAGAAUUGUCAACAAGUUUUUUUGAUACAAAUUUUGCAAGUACUAAUAAAAAUUUCUAAUUAGA